AGAGAAGAUUAGCAUGGCCCCUGUGCAAGAAUGACACUCAAAUUUGUGAAGCCUUCCAUUAAAAA
rnacentral:snRNA from 1 species